GAUGAACGCUGGCGGCGUGCUUAACACAUGCAAGUCGAACGAAGCACUUUAUUUGAUUUCCUUCGGGACUGAUUAUUUUGUGACUGAGUGGCGGACGGGUGAGUAACGCGUGGGUAACCUGCCUUGUACAGGGGGAUAACAGUUGGAAACGGCUGCUAAUACCGCAUAAGCGCACAGCAUCGCAUGAUGCAGUGUGAAAAACUCCGGUGGUAUAAGAUGGACCCGCGUUGGAUUAGCUAGUUGGUGAGGUAACGGCCCACCAAGGCGACGAUCCUUAGCCGACCUGAGAGGGUGACCGGCCACAUUGGGACUGAGACACGGCCCAAACUCCUACGGGAGGCAGCAGUGGGGAAUAUUGCACAAUGGGCGAAAGCCUGAUGCAGCGACGCCGCGUGAGCGAAGAAGUAUUUCGGUAUGUAAAGCUCUAUCAGCAGGGAAGAUAAUGACGGUACCUGACUAAGAAGCACCGGCUAAAUACGUG
rnacentral:rRNA from 1 species